rnacentral:rRNA from 1 species
AAUAGAUACCCGGGUAGUCCACGCUGUAAACGUUGGGCGCUAGGUGUGGGCGACAUCCACGUUGUCCGUGCCGUAGCUAACGCAUUAAGCGCCCCGCCUGGGGAGUACGGCCGCAAGGCUAAAACUCAAAGGAAUUGACGGGGGCCCGCACAAGCGGCGGAGCAUGUGGAUUAAUUCGAUGCAACGCGAAGAACCUUACCUGGGCUUGACAUGCGCCAGACAUCCCCAGAGAUGGGGCUUCCCUUGUGGUUGGUGUACAGGUGGUGCAUGGCUGUCGUCAGCUCGUGUCGUGAGGUGUUGGGUUAAGUCCCGCAACGAGCGCAACCCUUAUCCUACGUUGCCAGCGGAUAAUGCCGGGGACUCGUAGGAGACUGCCGGGGACAACUCGGAGGAAGGUGGGGAUGACGUCAAGUCAUCAUGCCCCUUACGUCCAGGGCUGCAAACAUGCUACAAUGGCCGAUACAAAGGGCUGCUAUUCCGCGAGGAUGAGCGAAUCCCAAAAAGCCGGUCUCAGUUCGGAUUGGGGU